rnacentral:rRNA from 1 species
UACGGGGGGAGCAAGCGUUGUUCGGAUUUACUGGGCGUAAAGGGCGCGUAGGCGGCGUGACAAGUCACUUGUGAAAUCUCCGGGCUUAACUCGGAACGGUCAAGUGAUACUGUCGUGCUAGAGUACAGAAGGGGCAACUGGAAUUCUCGGUGUAGCGGUGAAAUGCGUAGAUAUCGAGAGGAACAUCUGCGGCGAAGGCGGGUUGCUGGGCUGACACUGACGCUGAGGCGCGAAAGCUAGGGGAGCGAACGGG